UUUUUAUACGACCGCAAAAAAAUUUUUGUGGUCGUAUAUUGGUAUGACGUUGGCGUCGUCGUCGUCGUCGUCGUCUGGCGUCGUCCGGCGUCGUCCGAAGACACAUUGGUUUUCGCACUCUAACUUUAGUUUAAGUGAAUGGAUCUCUAUGAAAUUUUACCACAAGGUUCAAUACCACAAAAGGAAGGUUGGGAUUGAUUUUGGGGGUUAUGGUACCAACAGUAAAGGAAUUAGGGGCCAAAAAGGGGCCAAAAAUAAGCAUUUUUGUAACUUCCAGACAUAACUUGUGUGUUAGUGUAUGGAUCUCUCUUACAUUGUACCACAAGGUUCCAUAUCACAAAAGGAAUGCUGGGAUUGAUUUUGGGGGUAAUUGCCUCAAAAUUUUAGGAAUUAGGGGCCAAAAAAGGGGCAAAAAACAAGCAUUUUUCUAGUUUCAUGACAAUAACUUGUGUGUAAGUGUAUGGAUCUUUCUGAAAUUGUACUACAAGGUUCCAUAUCACAAAGGGAAAGCUGGAACUAAGUUUGGGGGUAAUUGCCGAAACGUUUAGGAAUUGGGGGCCAAAAAGGGGCCAAAAAUAAGCAUUUUUUUAGUUUCCAGACAAUAACUUGUGUUCAAGUGUAUGGAUCUCUCUGAAAUUGUACUGCAAGGUGCCAUACCACAAAGGGAAGGCUGGGAUUGAUGAUGGGGGUAAUUGCCUCAAUAUUUUAGGAAUUAGGGGCAGAAAAGGGGCAAAAAACAAGCAUUUUUCUCGUUUCAGGACAAUAACUUGUGUGUAAGUGUAUGGAUCUUUCUGAAAUUGUACUACAAGGUUCCAUACCACAAAGAGAAAGCUGGAAUUGAGUUUGGGGGUAAUUGCCCAAAACGUUUAGGAAUGAGGGGCCAAAAAGGGGCCAAAAAUAAGCAUUUUUCUAGUUUCCAGACAAUAACUUGUGUUCAAGUGUAUGGAUCUCUCUGAAAUUGUACUGCAAGGUACCAUACCACAAAGGGUGGGCUGGGAUUGAUUUUGGGGGUAAUUGCCUCAAAAUUUUAGGAAUUAGGGGCAAAAAAGGGGCAAAAAACAAGCAUUUUUCUAGUUUCAGGACAAUAACUUGUGUGUAAGUGUUAUGGAUCUUUAUGAAAUUGUACUACAAGGUUCCAUAUCACAAAGGGAAAGCUGGGUUUGAGUUUGGGGGUAAUUGCCCUAAAUUUAGGAAUUUGGGGCCAAAAAGGGGCCUAAAAAUAAGCAUUUUUCUAGUUUCCAGACAAUAACUUGUGUUCAAGUGUAUGGAUCUCUCUCAAAUUGUACUGCAAGGUACUAUACCACAAAGGGAAGGCUGGGAUUGAGUUU